CGUAUCUGUUGUGUUUGGGUUCAACCACCCACCUCCCAAGAAGGGAUAACCUCCCAGUACUCACCUCCACGCUAUCUUCGCCUCCUCUCUCCAAAUAUUACACAUCCAAAAAAUGGGAACUCACAGCCGAGCCUGUAAAAAAAAGCCAAUCCCCUGAUUCCCCUUUCUCACACCAGAGCGCCGCCGCUGCCGAUUCCGGGAAGCUCCGGCGCACUCCCACGCCACUGCUCCCUAUGCCCUCAAUAUUCUCCUCCGAUCCCCCCCCCCCCCCCCCCCCCCCCCCCCCCCCGCCCCCACAACAAGCCUAGUCGCCACGCGCCGCUGGCGCGGCUUCGGUGGCUCCGGUUUGUCGGCCCAGUACACCUGCAUCUCCUCACGCGCGGCUGCAGGCUCAGGCUUGACGGUGAUGCUCCGCUUCUUCUACCUUGACUGCGGCGUUGAUGGUACUCCGCCUAGGGUUUCUGCGCCGUGUUACUCCAUCGAGUAUGAGUGGACAACACCGUGAUGCGAGUGAUUUCUCUCAACAAUUUUCUUAGCCAGGUAUUUGAAUUGUUGCUUACAUCUCUGGUGUUCGUAUCUGGUUCUGGUGUUUAUUGAUUAGAUGUGAUUACCCUGUGUUGACGGUCAACCUGUACUGUUCUGGAUGAGUAGUAUGUGCAUACCCUAUUAUGCCUUACUGUCAGACUUUCCUAUUCCUAUAUAGAUGGAUCGAUGGAAUUGUUUUUUUUCAAGUGAAAUUGAUCAUUACGUACUAGUAGCAUGUAGCAUGACCUGUUCAAUUAGAUCAACACAGUUUUUUCUAAUGAAAAGAGAUCAACUUAGUUCAGAUCAUAGUGAGAUAGUAGUAUAUGAGCGAUAUAGCAUAUGACAUCAUGUAUGUCUCUGAAGAACAUUGCUACAAAAAUCAACAUGUCAGUGCAAUCAUGGGUCCAUGAUACUAGCAUAAUUAUUUCAAAUGGAUAAUCCCCUUCUCAGUAGUUUGAAUCAUUAUUUAUUUGGCGUCAUGUGUACAAUAUACUAAAAAACUAAGUCCACUUGCAUCCGUCUGUCCCAACAUUUGUCUUUAUUCUGUAAUACUUCGUUCCUUCUACACUCGCAAGUUAUGAAACUGUUUUUUUACUAUAGUCAACAUCCACAUGUGUGUGCUUAUCUUAUCUCUUAACAGAUCGAUCUACAACACAUACGCCUUAAGAGUUAUUUAAGUCAUUGUAAUUAUAUAUAUCAUUGGUGAGGGCCCUUUCGCUAGUAAGGAAAACAUAAAUUUUUAGCGUAUUAUUUAUUUUUUGAUUGAUGUAAUAUUUGUUUUCCCCUGACAAAAAGUAAUGUUUCUUUCAGGUUCUUAUUCAGUAAAAAUGUGCACAGCACAAUCUCAAAUUUAUGCAAAAGCUCAGAUGGCAAUAGUUCUUACACUCAUCUUAUCCAAUAUAAACUAUUGAAUGAUUCAUAAAAUUUGAAGGUGAGAGAUACAAGAACAUCAUAACAUUGAUAUUCUCGUCGUAUGUAUAUGACUACUAUAUAUUCUCGAAAUCUCACCUUCAACUGAGUUUAGUCCAGUUUUUUUAUUUUUUGAAAUAGAGGUACUUCUCAAUUGUUGUACUAAUUUUCUAUUUUGGGGGAAGCCACAUAUGUUUCCAAACAAUAGAAUGAUGCAUGAUGGUUAUCACACAAACUCCUGGCCAGGUGCCUCUCACAUCUUAUCUUGUUUGUAAUAUAUUCUCCUUAAACUGUUAACACAAUGAGCAUGUAGAUGUACUUGGUUCAUCAACGUAAACAUCAAAAGUAUUCCUCUUAUGCAGUCUGCUUCCCCGACAUGCAGGGCACACUAAGGUGGUGGGAAGAUACGUACAACCGUUAACCAGACGGCUAAGCGAUCAGAUGCGGCGAUUGUGUGAGUGUGUUAGAUUGCAAGAUAAAUCGAUGAUGCAUGGUCAGAUGUUGAUUGCAAGGUCAAGAAUAUGGGUGCUACUAGAUAGUUUCACAUUGUGUUUCAGAAUGUCAUUUUCAGUGUCAAUGUGUCAAUCAUUAUGAUUCAGGCAUUUUCAGUGUCAAUGUUUCGAUCAUUAUGUUUCAAAAUGGCUGAGACGUUGGUUGCAAGAUCAAGAACAGGACUAGUACUAGUUUCACAUCUUGUUAUCUUUGUAUCCAGAUCCUUGUGAUGCAACCAAGUUGAUUUAAUAUAUGAGACAGUUCUGUUUGUUA